UGUGAGUCUCUGUAAAUGCCACUCCUUUCGGCCAUUCACCAGUUUCUUGCAUUCACUGAUAUAGAGUUUUUGUAAAUUGAAGGGCAAUUCUCCUUCUAUUUCUGGACAACCAGACAGAUACAGUUCCUUGAGAGAUGGAAGGAGUUCCUGCAUACGUUCUGGCAGACACUUGAGCUUCUUACAUCCCGAAAUAUACAGUGACGUCAGCUGGGCAGCUCCUCCACAUGCCAUCGAGAGUUUUUCAACAUUCUCACAAUUCCGAAUAUAGAGAGUUUCAGUGGCAGUAGGAAUCAAAAACCUAGUAACGUUGUGGCAAUUCCCAAUUCUCAAUUCACGUGCUGUUGGGAGAAACUCAGGUGAUACACAACCACAAUCAUAUACACUCAAUUCCUCCAGAAACAUACUCAUCUCACAAACUGGCGCCUCCAAUUUUAAUUUUGGGCAACCAGAUAUCUCUAUUCUCUUCAAGGUAGUUGGCAGUAUGCUAAAAGGAAAGGAGGUAACAGAGUUACAAUCACAUAUAUCUAUUUCCUCAAUCUGCUUCAUUGCUUCAAGUUGGGAUCUAAACAGUUGAGCAUCAUUAAAAACAACUGGACAAUCACUAACUUCUAACCUUUUUAAACUUGAAAAUUGGAUGGGUAUCUCCAAACUGAGCUCAGGGCAAUUUUUAAUUGAAAGGUUCUCAAGUGUAGGGAACUCUCCAAUUCCUAGUGCGUGCCAUUGCUUCCACUCCGUCAUAUCUUCAAAUUCAAGCUUCUCAAGACAGUUAAAAGGCUUUUUGGAGGACAAUCUGCCAUAGAAUUCUUCUGUCACCACUCUUAUCCCAUGCAUCCCUUUAACGGAAAGGAAUUUCAAACAAGGGAGUUGUCCUAGUGCUGGCAAGGAGUAACAGUCCUUGCAGUAGCUAAGAGACAAUUCCA
rnacentral:misc_RNA from 1 species